AGAAAAGAAACUUAAGACUGCUUUGCUCUUCUUAUGAAUGUCGUAUGAAACUUAUGUUUGUUACUUAGACUAUGUUAAGUAGAGAGGAAACAAACAAACUGCCAUUUUAUUAUUUAAGAUUGAAUUCUGUUGGGUUGGGAUUGGGGCAAAAGUGCAUCAACACAUUUUUGAGAAACCAGCAAGUUUUUGUGUUGGAUCUUGGAUGUUAAUGAGGAAAUUGAUGGCUCAUAAUUGCAACUAUUACCUCAAAUGCCCAAUAACUGACAGAAUCAAUUUGAUUCUAUUCACAUCCGCUGCUUCAAAAAAUGUGUAUAUCGUUAGUAAGGACCAAUAAAUGUAGAAUGCAUCACAUGUUGUUCAUUGUUACAUCACCAUGUACGCAAAUAUUAAAAAACAGGACACUCAACCCAAGCCAACUCGACAAGUUUUAUUUCAUCUCAAGAGUCUGAAUAUUGCUCAAAUUUAUGAUAUAUUGGUGAAUAUAUAUAUGACUCAAACUCAAACGUCAACCUGCAAAAGGAAAGGCCAGUUUGCAUGGCCUCGACGCUCGAAGGUCACGGAGAUCAUUACGUAAAACGUGUCAUGCAGCGG